UAGUUAAUGAGAGGCCUAUCUUGACUCUCGCAUUAAUGAAGAACGUAGUGAAAUAUGAUACUUGAUGUGAAAUUGCAAAAUUUUGUGAACCAUUAGGUUAAGUUACGUUCGAAGCUAUUAGGUCGAGGGAACGUUUGACUGCGAGUUA
rnacentral:rRNA from 1 species